rnacentral:misc_RNA from 1 species
GAUGAAGAACGUAGCGAAACGCGAUAGUUAAUGUGAAUUGCAGAAUUCAGUGAAUCAUCGAAUCUUUGAACGCACAUUGCGCCCGCUGGUAUUCCGGCGGGCAUGCCUGUUCGAGCGUCAUUUCAACCCUCAAGCCCCCGGGUUUGGUGUUGGGGAUCGGCUCUGCCCUUCUGGGCGGUGCCGCCCCCGAAAUACAUUGGCGGUCUCGCUGCAGCCUCCAUUGCGUAGUAGCUAACACCUCGCAACUGGAACGCGGCGCGGCCAUGCCGUAAAACCCCAACUUCUGAAUGUUGACCUCGGAUCAGGUAGGAAUACCCGCUGAACUUAAGCAUAUCAAUAAGCGGAGGA